GAUGAACGCUAGCUACAGGCUUAACACAUGCAAGUCGAGGGACCGGCGCACGGGUGAGUAACACGUAUCCAACCUGCCCUUUACUCGGGGAUAGCCUUUCGAAAGAAAGAUUAAUACCCGAUAUAAUGUAUGGGGAUGCGUUCAAUUAGGGUGUUGGUGAGGUAACGGCCGACCAAGCCUUCGAUGGCUAGGGUUUAUGAGGGGAAGGUCCCCCACAUCUGAACUGAGGCACAGUCCAAACACGUACGGAAGGCAGCAGUGUGGAAUAUUGGUCAAUGGGCGUUAGCCUGAACCAGCCAAGUAGCGGGAAGGAUGAAGGCUUAUGGGUCGUAAACUUCUGGGAUAUAAGAAUAUGUAUUAGAUGAAUAAGGAUCGGCUAACUCCGUGCCAGCAGCCGCGGUAAUUC
rnacentral:rRNA from 1 species